AUAUACUCUAAAGUCAUUUUCUUUACUUUGAUGUUUUUGGAAUCCACUCGAGAACUUACGUCAUUCGUAGAACCAUUGUGUUGGGAUUUUACUUCCAGUGACCAAAGGAUUUUGCGAUGUUGUGAUGGUUACAGAACUUUAGGAGGGAAAUGUUUCCCAUGCGUAGGUUCAUUUGGGCUCGAAUGUAGCAGGCCAUGUCCUGGAGGAUACUUUGGAGUUAAAUGUCAAGAAGAAUGUCCCUGUGAGAGAUGUAAUGCAACGACAGGG